GUUGAGGCUUAUCCCAAUGGACAGUUUGUAGCCAUACUUUAUUGGAUGCAGCUCAUACAACCAUUAUGGUUUAUUUUAUUCAUAAGACUAUGCCUUAGAUCUGUGGGAAGCAACUACAAGACCGUU
rnacentral:snoRNA from 1 species